rnacentral:rRNA from 1 species
GACGAACGCUGGCGGCGUGCCUAAUACAUGCAAGUCGAGCGCAGGAAAUCGACGGAACCCUUCGGGGGGAAGUCGAUGGAAUGAGCGGCGGACGGGUGAGUAACACGUAAAGAACCUGCCCUCAGGUCUGGGAUAACCACGAGAAAUCGGGGCUAAUACCGGAUGGGUCAUCGGACCGCAUGGUCCGAGGAUGAAAGGCGCUUCGGCGUCGCCUGGGGAUGGCUUUGCGGUGCAUUAGCUAGUUGGUGGGGUAAUGGCCCACCAAGGCGACGAGGCAUAGCCGACAUGAGGGGGUGAUCAGCCAAACUGGGGCUGAGACAAUGCCCAGACUCCUACGGGAGGCAGCAGUAGGGAAUCUUCCACAAUGGACGAAUGUCUGAUGGAGCAACGCCGCGUGAACGAUGAAGGCCUUCGGGUCGUAAAGUUCUGUUGUAAGGGAAGAACAAGUGCCGCAGGCAAUGGCGGCACCUUGACGGUACCUUGCGAGAAAGCCACGGCUAACUACGUGCCAGCCGCCGCAGUAAAAC